rnacentral:rRNA from 1 species
UGUUUCGGCUAGGGGGUCAUCCCGACUUACCAACCCGAUGCAAACUGCGAAUACCGAAGAAUGUUAUCACGGGAGACACACGGCGGGUGCUAACGUCCGUCGUGAAGAGGGAAACAACCCAGACCGCCAGCUAAGGUCCCAAAGUCAUGGUUAAGUGGGAAACGAUGUGGGAAGGCACAGACAGCCAGGAUGUUGGCUUAGAAGCAGCCAUCAUUUAAAGAAAGCGUAAUAGCUCACUGGUCGAGUCGGCCUGCGCGGAAGAUGUAACGGGGCUAAACCAUGCACCGAAGCUGCGGCAGCGACACUAUGUGUUGUUGGGUAGGGGAGCGUUCUGUAAGCCGUUGAAGGUGUACUGUGAGGUAUGCUGGAGGUAUCAGAAGUGCGAAUGCUGACAUAAGUAACGAUAAUGCGGGUGAAAAACCCGCACGCCGGAAGACCAAGGGUUCCUGUCCAACGUUAAUCGGGGCAGGGUGAGUCGACCCCUAAGGCGAGGCCGAAAGGCGUAGUCGAUGGGAAACAGGUUAAUAUUCCUGUACUUGGUGUUACUGCGAAGGGGGGACGGAGAAGGCUAUGUUAGCCGGGCGACGGUUGUCCCGGUUUAAGCAUGUAGGCGGAGGUUCCAGGUAAAUCCGGUACCUUUUAACGCUGAGGUGUGAUGACGAGGCACUACGGUGCUGAAGUAACAAAUGCCCUGCUUCCAGGAAAAGCCUCUAAGCAUCAGGUAACACGAAAUCGUACCCCAAACCGACACAGGUGGUCAGGUAGAGAAUACCAAGGCGCUUGAGAGAACUCGGGUGAAGGAACUAGGCAAAAUGGUGCCGUAACUUCGGGAGAAGGCACGCUGAUAUGUAGGUGAAGUGAUUUACUCAUGGAGCUGAAAUCAGUCGAAGAUACCAGCUGGCUGCAACUGUUUAUUAAAAACACAGCACUGUGCAAACACGAAAGUGGACGUAUACGGUGUGACGCCUGCCCGGUGCCGGAAGGUUAAUUGAUGGGGUUAUCCGUAAGGAGAAGCUCUUGAUCGAAGCCCCGGUAAACGGCGGCCGUAACUAUAACGGUCCUAAGGUAGCGAAAUUCCUUGUCGGGUAAGUUCCGACCUGCACGAAUGGCGUAAUGAUGGCCAGGCUGUCUCCACCCGAGACUCAGUGAAAUUGAACUCGCUGUGAAGAUGCAGUGUACCCGCGGCAAGACGGAAAGACCCCGUGAACCUUUACUAUAGCUUGACACUGAACACUGGUCCUUGAUGUGUAGGAUAGGUGGGAGGCUUUGAAGUGUGGACGCCAGUCUGCAUGGAGCCAUCCUUGAAAUACCACCCUUUAAUGGCUGGUGUUCUAACGUGGACCCGUUACCCGGGUUGCGGACAGUGUCUGGUGGGUAGUUUGACUGGGGCGGUCUCCUCCUAAAGAGUAACGGAGGAGCACGAAGGUUAGCUAAUCCUGGUCGGACAUCAGGAGGUUAGUGCAAAGGCAUAAGCUAGCUUGACUGCGAGAGUGACGGCUCGAGCAGGUGCGAAAGCAGGUCUUAGUGAUCCGGUGGUUCUGAAUGGAAGGGCCAUCGCUCAACGGAUAAAAGGUACUCCGGGGAUAACAGGCUGAUACCGCCCAAGAGUUCAUAUCGACGGCGGUGUUUGGCACCUCGAUGUCGGCUCAUCACAUCCUGGGGCUGAAGUAGGUCCCAAGGGUAUGGCUGUUCGCCAUUUAAAGUGGUACGCGAGCUGGGUUUAGAACGUCGUGAGACAGUUCGGUCCCUAUCUGCCGUGGGCGCUGGAGAAUUGAGGGGGGCUGCUCCUAGUACGAGAGGACCGGAGUGGACGCAUCACUGGUGUUCGGGUUGUCAUGCCAAUGGCAUUGCCCGGUAGCUAAAUGCGGAAGAGAUAAGUGCUGAAAGCAUCUAAGCACGAAACUUGCCCCG